UCGCCCACAAAUAGGACAAACAUAAACCUUUUGUAAUUGCAAUCAGCGUCAGUAACAAAUUAAUAAUUACAACUUUCAACAACGGAUCUCUUGGUUCUGGCAUCGAUGAAGAACGCAGCGAAAUGCGAUAAGUAGUGUGAAUUGCAGAAUUCAGUGAAUCAUCGAAUCUUUGAACGCACAUUGCGCCCUUUGGUAUUCCAAAGGGCAUGCCUGUUCGAGCGUCAUUUGUACCCUCAAGCUUUGCUUGGUGUUGGGCGUCUUGUCUCUAGCUUUGCUGGAGACUCGCCUUAAAGUAAUUGGCAGCCGGCCUACUGGUUUCGGAGCGCAGCACAAGUCGCACUCUCUAUCAGCAAAGGUCUAGCAUCCAUUAAGCCUUUUUUUCAACUUUUGACCUCGGAUCAGGUAGGGAUACCCGCUGAACUUAAGCAU
rnacentral:rRNA from 1 species